rnacentral:lncRNA from 1 species
CACCUCUUCUAUUUACUGCCCACAGAUUCUUUAGUCCUGUCUACUUCAACAAGUCAAUCAAAAUGAAUUAUAAAGGGGAAGAAGGUAUUCCUCACCUUACUUCAGUGUUGCAAUUUUGGAGAAUUGAGUUUUUGUUUCCCUGCUUAGUCCUCUCACUUUCUCCUUUUAUCCUCUUCCUAAUUAGCUCCCUCUCCCCAGUUAUAUACUAUUAACAUAUAUACAGUAUAAGCAUUUUAGGAGAAAGGAACAAUGCCAUUUAGUUUUGUUGCAUAAAUAGUAAAUACUUUUUGUAAAAGAAUCAAACAAUACAAAAAUAGGCAAAGUAGAACACAAUUUAAAAAAUUUUUUUCUCCCCUAAACUGUAACUGUCAUCCUAAGAGGUAACCAUCA